GACGAACGCUGGCGGCGUGCUUAACACAUGCAAGUCGAACGAAGAGCGAUGGAAGCUUGCUUCUAUCAAUCUUAGUGGCGAACGGGUGAGUAACGCGUAAUCAACCUGCCCUUCAGAGGGGGACAACAGUUGGAAACGACUGCUAAUACCGCAUACGAUCUGACCUCGGCAUCGAGGAUAGAUGAAAGGUGGCCUCUAUUUAUAAGCUAUCACUGAAGGAGGGGAUUGCGUCUGAUUAGCUAGUUGGAGGGGUAACGGCCCACCAAGGCGAUGAUCAGUAGCCGGUCUGAGAGGAUGAACGGCCACAUUGGGACUGAGACACGGCCCAGACUCCUACGGGAGGCAGCAGUGGGGAUCUUCCGCAAUGGACGAAAGUCUGACGGAGCAACGCCGCGUGAGUGAUGACGGCCUCCGGGUUGUAAAGCUCUGUUAAUCGGGACGAAAGGCCUUCUUGCGAAUAGUUAGAAGGAUUGACGGUACCGGAAUAGAAAGCCACGG
rnacentral:rRNA from 1 species